rnacentral:rRNA from 1 species
UACGUAGGGGGCGAGCGUUAUCCGGAUUUACUGGGCGUAAAGCGCGUUAAGGCGGUUGGCAAAGUUGGUGGUGAAAUUGCAGGGCUCAACCCUGCAACUGCCUCCAAUACUGGUCGACUAGAGUGUGAGAGAGGAAAGUGGAAUUCCCGGUGUAGUAGUGAAAUGCGUAGAUAUCGGGAGGAACACCAGUGGCGAAGGCGGCUUUCUGGCUCACAACUGACGCUGUAGCGCGAAAGCGUGGGGAGCAAACAGG